UACAGAGGUCUCAAGCGUUGUUCGGAUUCAUUGGGCGUAAAGGGUGCGUAGGUGGUGAUGCCAAGUCUGGUGUGAAAUCUCGGAGCUUAACUCCGAAACUGCAUUCGAUACUGCCGUGCUUGAGGACUGGAGAGGAGACUGGAAUUUACGGUGUAGCGGUGAAAUGCGUAGAUAUCGUAAGGAAGACCAGUGGCGAAGGCGGGUCUCUGGACAGUUCCUGACGCUGAGGCACGAAGGUCAGGGGAGCAAACGGG
rnacentral:rRNA from 1 species